rnacentral:rRNA from 1 species
GAUGAACGCUAGCUACAGGCUUAACACAUGCAAGUCGCGGGGCAGCAUGGGGGUUGCUUGCAAUCCCUGAUGGCGACCGGCGCACGGGUGAGUAACGCGUAUCCAACCUGCCCUUCACCACGGGAUAACCCGGCGAAAGUCGGACUAAUACCGUAUGUUGUCCAUUGACGGCAUCCGAUUUGGACGAAAGGCUUAGCGGUGAGGGAUGGGGAUGCGUCCGAUUAGCUUGACGGCGGGGUAACGGCCCACCGUGGCUACGAUCGGUAGGGGUUCUGAGAGGAAGGUCCCCCACACUGGAACUGAGACACGGUCCAGACUCCUACGGGAGGCAGCAGUGAGGAAUAUUGGUCAAUGGGCGUAAGCCUGAACCAGCCAAGUAGCGUGCAGGAUGACGGCCCUAUGGGUUGUAAACUGCUUUUAUGCGGGGAUAAAGGGACCCACGUGUGGGUCUUUGCAGGUACCGCAUGAAUAAGGACCGGCUAAUUCCGUG